CUCAAUAAGCGGAGGAAAAGAAACUAACAAGGAUUCCCCUAGUAACUGCGAGUGAAGAGGGAAAAGCUCAAAUUUAAAAUCUGGCAGCUUUGGUUGUCCGAGUUGUAAUCUGGAGAAGUGUUUUCAGUGCAGGACCGUGUACAAGUCUCUUGGAAUGGAGCAUCAUAGAGGGUGAGAAUCCCGUCUUUGACAUGGACUACCUGUGCUUUGUGAUACACUCUCAAAGAGUCGAGUUGUUUGGGAAUGCAGCUCAAAAUGGGUGGUAAAUUCCAUCUAAAGCUAAAUAUUGGCGAGAGACCGAUAGCGAACAAGUACCGUGAGGGAAAGAUGAAAAGCACUUUGGAAAGAGAGUUAAACAGUACGUGAAAUUGUUGAAAGGGAAACGCUUGAAGUCAGUCGCGUUUGUUAGAACUCAGCUUGGCUUUUGCUUAGUGUACUUUCUAAUGAACGGGCCAACAUCGAUUUCAGUCAGUGGAUAAGGGUAAGGGGAAUGUGGCACCCUCGGGUGUGUUAUAGCCUCUUAUCGUAUACAUUUACUGGGAUCGAGGUCUGCAGCACUUGUGCUUAGGAUGUUGGCAUAAUGGCUUUAAUCGACCCGUCUUGAAACACGGACCAAGGAGUCUAACAUGCCCGCGAGUGUUAGGGUGGUAAACCCUUGCGCGUAAUGAAAGUGAAAGUUGGGACCUCUGUCAUGGGGGGCACCGACGCCCGGUCCUGAACUUCUGUGACGGUACUGCGGUAGAGCGUGUAUGUUGGGACCCGAAAGAUGGUGAACUAUGCCUGAAUAGGGUGAAGCCAGAGGAAACUCUGGUGGAGGCUCGUAGCGAUUCUGACGUGCAAAUCGAUCGUCAAAUUUGGGUAUAGGGGCGAAAGACUAAUCGAACCAUCUAGUAGCUGGUUCCUGC
rnacentral:rRNA from 1 species